UACACACAAGUCUCCAAAGCCCUAGGCAGAGGACUGGGCACACACUCAGGCUCUAGGCACCUUGCCAAAGCCUCACAAGCACCCUACCUGGCACACUGGCUUAAGUCUCUGCAAGAAGCGUGGGGGGGAGUGAAGGGGCAUAAUAGGGAAAGGGUGGGUUGGCCGGGGUUGGGGGGGGAGGAGGGUGGACUGCAGCCGACUUGUAGUGGUAGAGACAAGUUCAUUGCACUACUUUCCCCUUCUUUAACUAGACCUAAGAUCCUUUUGGCUGUCGCCCUCAGGAGAGCCGGCUGCAUGGCUGAAGGCUGCUCACCUCCGCGGAGGGACAACUGGGCCCCUUGGCAAGUCUACCCGGACAGAUCAGCGCAGCCAUCAGAGAUCCCACGAGCCCAACGUAGGCCUUGGGGUGCACCCGCCAGUCGCGGGGAGCACACAGCCACGUAGAGUGCACUCGACUAGGCACGUCGGGGACUCAAGGUACGCUGCACUGGGCAAAGUUUUGCGCUCUCCCUCUCCUUUUUUGGGAAAGAAAUGGACAAACUCGUAUAUCAUAUAGUACCUGGGGGACAGCCCAAGCAAACCUCCCAAAGAUAUCGCGAAAUGUUCCAGCAGACGACAGGAUUGUUUAUUCGAUAAUGGGUGGUUUUUUCUUUUUAAAUUAAAAACAGACAAGUCAGGUUUGGAUGAUUCCGGUCCCUUCUCACUAAUCGAUCACUUUAAUUUCAUCACCGAUCAUUGCAGAUGAUUCGGUAGAAAAUGCGUUGCCAGAUUUUGAGUAGAAUUAAAAGAACAAGGAACAAAAAGACCCACAGAAACACAUAAGGGACCUAACCACACCGCCCCAGCAUUCAGGUGCUAACCUACUUAUUUGAAAGUAAUUUAUUUUCCAUUUUUCCGAGUUCUCUCCUCUAACAUCCCCCCCCAGUUGAGUGCUGAAAGAAAGAAUAAGGGCUUUAACAUUUAAAUGUUGUGGUCUGGUAAUUACUUUUUUUUUUCACUUUUCCCCUAAGUUGCAAUGUGAAAACCUCACAGGGGGGUCUUUGCUGUGGAAGGACUAUAGUCCCCAAUCCAGAGCACAAGAUCUGCAAUUACAAACCCAUUAGGUGCCCCUUGCUAGCAUUAAUAUGCACAAAAUCCUGCUGUUAAUCUUAUAAUCUGUUUUGUUUCAUCAAUUGCCUUCCUAGCACUAGGGGGAAAAAGAAUAAAAAAAUGGAAAACAUUUCA
rnacentral:lncRNA from 1 species